rnacentral:rRNA from 1 species
CCUACGGGUGGCAGCAGUGAGGAAUAUUGGUCAAUGGACGAGAGUCUGAACCAGCCAAGUAGCGUGAAGGAUGACUGCCCUAUGGGUUGUAAACUUCUUUUAUAUGGGAAUAAAAUGUUCCACGUGUGGGAUUUUGUAUGUACCAUAUGAAUAAGGAUCGGCUAACUCCGUGCCAGCAGCCGCGGUAAUACGGAGGAUCCGAGCGUUAGCCGGAUUUAUUGGGUUUAAAGGGAGCGUAGGUGGAUUGUUAAGUCAGUUGUGAAAGUUUGCGGCUCAACCGUAAAAUUGCAGUUGAAACUGGCAGUCUUGAGUACAGUAGAGGUGGGCGGGAUUCGUGGUGUAGCGGUGAAAUGCUUAGAUAUCACGAAGAACUCCGAUUGCGAAGGCAGUUCACUGGACUGCAACUGACACUGAGGCUCGAAAGUGUGGGUAUCAAACAGGAUUAGAUACCCCUGUAGUC